GGCAGUCUCUCAGGGCGAUGGGCCUCCAGAAAUCAAUCCCCUCUCUCUCUCCGUGCCUGGAAAUAAAUGGAACACUUCCUUUCUCUCUCUACCAGAAUAGUAAACAGAACUUCACUCUCUCUCUAUAAAAGGAAAAUGGGGCCUCUCUCUCUCUCCUCCUCCCCAUUGUCUCUCAUCAGUAAACUUUAUCUCUCUACUUGAAUGCGAUAACAAGGCUCUCUCUCUCUACUUGAAUUGUUGGGAACAAAACAUCUCUCUGUCUCUCUUAAAAUUGCAAAUGUGUCCUCUCUUUCUCUCUCCUUAAAAUUUGUUCGGCAGUAUAAAAGCACCCAUUCGAUUCCCAAACUCUCUGAGUCUUCGAUCCCAGAAAUCCAACCAUGUAAUCUCCUUCCACUGUCUUUCUCGUUGUCUAAUGCAAAACCAGGAAAAAACUCGACAAGAACCAUAAACUGCCACCCUCUCUCUGCAAAAUCUCAUAAAUUUUGAAGCAACAUCUCAUCUGUCUGUCUCUCUCUCUCUGGGAGGUUGAUCUUUCCACGAGUUUUUAUGCUGCCACCAUUGACAGAGGGUUUCUAUAUUGAGCAAAAAUGCCAUUCUUUCUUAACAAGGGAAUAGAGUUAUUUGUUAUUUUCAUCCUAAGUUUGGCAGUUGCAGAGAUAUGGGUUUCUGAGCGUAUGGCAAUGGCGAUAAGGGAUAUCCCUGAAACCCAAAAUUUAUUCACAGGAGAGAGUAGGAGAGAUCAACAAGAGAGCGUUAGAGUGAGAAACACAGUGUUUACUCCUCCGUACAAUUUAUCAGCAGGGGAUUUUUAUGAUAGCGAACGCAGAGUACCCACCUGCCCUGAUCCUCUCCAUAACAGGUAAAUCUUUACAUGGGGUCUCAUAUGGUUCUUGAGAAAAUAAGGUAGCUUUAUUUAUUUUUAUUUUAAUUUUUGUGGGGGUGUUGGGGUUCUUGGUUUUUAAUGUUAUGAGGGAAAAGCUUGUGUAUAGAUGAGAUUUUUGGGGGUUUAAAUGGGUUUUAUUAGGAUUUCCAUCACUGUAACCAGCGAUCCUGCGGUGCUCCAGUAUGUACAGAGAGAGAGAGAGGAGUGGCUCUCAAUUCUAGAGAGAGAGUGGUACGGCUUUCAAUUCUAGAGAGAGAGAGAGGGCUUCAAUGGCUAGAACUAGAGACAGAGAGAGCUUACUGUGCAGAGAGAUAAAGAGAGUAAUUUGCGCUUUGUAUUGUUAGAAUCUUUGUAUUGUCACUGUACGGAGAUUUGGUCUAUACAGGGCAGAGAGAGAGAGAGAGAGAGAGAGAGAGAGAGAGAGAGA
rnacentral:lncRNA from 1 species